AUUGAACGCUGGCGGCAUGCCUAACACAUGCAAGUCGAACGAGUGGUGGACGGGGGAGUAAUGUUUGGGAAACUGCCUGAUCGCGGGGGAUAACUACUGGUAACGGUAGCUAACACCGCCCACCAGCAGAUGUGCCCAGAGGGGAUUAGCUUGGUGGUGGGGUAAGGGCUAACCAAGGCGACGAUGCCUAGCUGGUCUGCGAGGAUGACCAGCCACCCUGGAACUGCGGCACGGUCCAGAGUCCUACGGGAGGCAGCAGUGGGGAAUUGUGCACAAUGGGCGAAAGCCUGAUGCAGCCAUGCCGCGUGUAUGAAGAGGGCCUUCGGGUUGUAAAGUACUUUCAGCGGGGAGGCGUUACCCGCAGAAGAAGCGCCGGCUAACUCCGUGCCAGCAGCCGCGGUAAUUC
rnacentral:rRNA from 1 species